UAUAGCAUCAGGAUAAUUGGCACUCGGCAAUGGGUGGUUUUACCCAGUAAAGGAAAUGAUUAGAAGUUUUGGGGCUGAAACAAUCUCAACCUAUUCUCAAACUUUCAAUGGGUAAGGGAGCAGGCUGGGCAUGGAGCUGCACUGUGGAACACGAGUGCUCUGUGGGCCACUUUUGGUAAGCAGAACUGGCUCUGCAGGAUGAACCGAACGCUGUGAUAAGGCGCCCACUGCUGACGUGCAUCAGAGCCCACAAAAGGUGCUGGUUGAUCUGGACAGCAGGAUGGUGGCCAUGGAAGUCAGAAUAUGCUAAGGAGUAUGUAACAACUCACCUGAAUCAGCUACCCCUGAAAAUGAAUGGAGGUGGGGCAGGUGGCCCGGUGCCACGCGAGCAGCGGUGGGUAUUACAGCCCCUGGGCAG
rnacentral:ncRNA from 1 species